rnacentral:piRNA from 1 species
UGUUGGUUGCCACUUUCUUCAGGAU